GAAAUGCGAUAAGUAGUGUGAAUUGCAGAAUUCAGUGAAUCAUCGAAUCUUUGAACGCACAUUGCGCCUCCUGGCAUUCCGGAAGGCAUGCCUGUUCGAGCGUCAUAAAAUACAUUCAGCCACAGCCUCGCGAUGGUUGGUUGUGAAGCCGCGGGUGAAAACCUUCGGCUUUGAAAUCCAUUGGCGAAGGACGCGGUAAUCCCUUGCGUAGUAAAAACUUAUUCCGCUCUGGAGACCGACAUCCUUCCGUCACAACACACUUAAUCUUGAAGUUGACCUCGAAUCAGGUAGGGAUACCCGCUGAACUUAA
rnacentral:misc_RNA from 1 species